AUCCAGCUGAUGAGUCUCAAAUAGGACGAAACUCGUGUUCUCAAU
rnacentral:hammerhead_ribozyme from 1 species